CCUAGAACUCCCGGAGUAGACGCCGCCGCCCGCCCCUUCCAGCCCCCGCCCUCCAGCCCCAACCCCAUGGAGAUCGAGAUCAAGCUCCGGCUCCCGACGUGGCCGCACACUGGCGCCUCUCCUCCUUCCUCGCGCCCCGCCUGCUCCGCACCGACGCCCCCGCGUGGCCCACGCCGCCGCCGUCCUGCGAUCCAAGUUCCAACUGACACAGCCGGAUCUCGUGCGAUCUCACAGCUGCCACCGCCGCCGCCGAACUCACAGUCGGAUUUCGUGCAAUCUCACAGCCGCCGCCGCCGAACUCACAGUCGGAUGUCGUGCAAUCUCACAGCCGCCGCCGCCGAACUCACAGCUGGAUCUCGUGCGAUCUCGCUGCCUCCAACGUACGGAAGUCUUCACUGUAUGGGAUCGCCGCCACGGUACUGGAUCGCCGCCGCGGACGUAAGAGGCUGAAGCGCGGCGGGUGGGACAGGGUGUGCGUCGCGUUGCUGGAGAACUUCCUCGAACGAACGCUGUGGUGGUGCCAUUGUCCAUUGAUCUGGACGUCGGUAGAAAAAUUGAGGGAAAUCAAAGUCAGAAGAAUUGAAAAUACUAUGCACUGUGUCUACAAAAAGUCCAAGCUGCCUAUUCCUACAUAAGGAUAAGGAUCCACGAGUGGGUAUUACUUUCACAAUGUUUGUUAGAAUCAUUCUUUAUACGAACUUGGUUGUACUUUCAGCCACAGAGAUGCAAAUUUCAUGGGCUAAUGCAUGAUGUGAUAGCAUAACAGAAUCUGGAGGACCUCCAGACUUGGCUCUUUGCUGGGGCAAAGGGUGUGAAGCGGUUUGCCGCAGAUUCAGAGGCCAUUUGGUUCAUCCAUAAUCUUCAAUGCAUCCCUAUCCUGAUGCUUCUAAUUUUCACUGCCCUCGGGUUUUGGAGCAUUGUGUAACUUUAUUUGGUUCAUUGCAGGUGCAGGGAACCUAUUGGAUUUACAUCUUCUACUCUCUUGACAAAGCAGUGUUCGAGGGUGUGCCUACGUGAAACACAUGGUCUCCAUCACCCUUUCCUUCUAGAGCCGGUACCAGGUGUGUGCAAUUUGAUGAAAUACAGAUGUCUGGUGUUUCAAUCAGUAUGUCGCAUAGUUUUUUCAUAUGUGCUUUGCUGUGAAAAAUCAACGCAUCAUUUAAUUUAUUUCUCAGUUUACAUCAGCAAAUGACCCUCUACUUGGCGUCAAAUAAUGAAUGCACGUGAUCUAGGACUAUUUGCUUUGGUGCUUAAUGGAUCGCAUCAUGCAUCCUAUUUAAACUGCAAUGCUUUACAUCUAAUGUUAUUUUUUGAGUCAUGGAACAGUGGCGGUCGAUCACAUUCUUGGCCCCGUUUGAAGGAACGACGAUUUUCAGGAUUGACGUGGAUUGAUUUUCUUGAACAUGAAGGUGUCAUUUUCAUUGCCAUUGAACACUAUAGACAAUUAGUUCAGAGGUUUCCUCUCAUAUUUAUUUUCUCGUUACUAAUUUCCUCUGCUCAUUACUAAUUUUUGCCUACAACGUGUUGUUUCCUGCCUUUUUCUGCUGGUAUGGUUAGACAUUUGCUUGCUUAAUCUAUCAUGCGAGUUUGUGCAAUGGGUAGUGAGCUUGCAUAUUUCCAUUUUAUUUAUCUUCUCAUGUUGGCAUGUAAUUGGCUUGGUCAUUUAAGAUGGUAAGAGAAGAUUGCGAAGCUAUUGUUCCAGCACUUGCAAAUAUUCCUCGUGUUCAUUCGUGAGUAGAGUAAGAACAAUAUGUGUGUUUUCUGGAAGCUAUGGUGGUGGUAGCUUCCAUAUAAAUGGAAUGGGACGGAGUCGGAAGCUGAGCGUGGGUUCAAUGAAGAAAAUGGCAGGGAGAGAAGAAUAUAAUUUGUGUGAUUAUGUUAACAUGGCUUUCUCUCUCUACGUACAUAUCUCUUUUCUGUAGGAGGCUUGUGAUGGCACACAACAAUGGAGAGGAGAUAAAAUAGGAGGAUGUCUGAGGAGCAUGGCAAGACAAAACAAAGAAUGAAGAAUGCGUUUCCAUUUCAUGAUCAUCAAACACAACUAAGCUUAUUUUUUGUAUGUCAACUGUCGGAGCUAAGAUGGAGCCUAUGGGUGUGGUGAAGCAGUGUCGCCUAGAAUGUGGAUGGAGUGCCCAUUGCACUGGCAUGAAUUAUGUGUUGCCAAGCGGUGUCUAGAAAAUUAAUUUUGAAAUUUUAGAAAUAAGAUCUACACGCAGUGAUAAUAGGGUGGGGAUUUUUAGAACCUAAUAAAGUGCUGCGGAGAGAAAUGGAGGAUGUGUUUAGUUUAGUGGAUAGCCACCCAAUGGACAGGGAUAGCCAGUUUUAGAGGGUAUACCGGUGCUUGCAUUUGUAGUAUCCAGACAAAUAUGGUAUGCAAUGAUGAAAUCCUGACGAUCUACACCCACAUCACUGUAUUUUGUUCACUUGCUUGCUUUCCUUGCUAUUAUUGAUGGAGCAGCAGAAGAGGCUUUUAGUGUUGUAAUAUAUGCCCGACCGACUUAUAAAUUCAAUAGCUCAAGAAAACUUUCAAAAAAUUACUUUGAUUGGGUAAAGUAUGCACAUGUAUAUAACAUGUUAUCUUUUUUCCUUCAGUUAACUACAUGUGAAGCUGAAGCUAAGCCAAUGUGCUUUUCCAGAAGAAGGCCAAGGCACAUCAAUCCAACACCAACCCACCUGCUAUGGAACUAAGGGAGGAAGGAAAAAGAACAUUGCCCCUGAGGGCUCGAGACGCACAAACAGGAAGCUGAGUUCGGGAAAGGUGGUUGUCUCCUUGACGCACACCAUAGUGCCCAUCUUUUCUAUUCUAAUGUCUUGCUCCUUGGACAGACACCUUGUGCUUUGUGCAGACCAUCAAUGCCUUUUCCUCCUGUUCGGCCAGGAGAUGAAUGCUUUCUAAACAUUGGUAAUAACAAUGAGAUCAGAGAGUACUGCUCUAUUCAUUGCUCUUCUAAAUCUUGUGAGUGCAAGGUAUGUAGGGAUCCAAGGAUAUUUAUUGAGACCACUUCUCCCUUUUGACGAGCAAGCACUGUUUUAUAGGUUAUUGGCCACAAUAAUCUCAUAAUGGUGUCCUGCUAUGUAGAACAUGAUUGCAAGAUAAUAUAUUUCCAAAUGAUACUUUAUUUGGUGCCUAUGUUAUUGUUGAAGUGAGUAAUCAUUUGUCACCUGAAAUUGCAAGGCAGGCAAAGUGUUAACUGAAACCCCAUGGCCUACUCGCCAUCGUCAACUUCCUCUUUGCGCUCGCCGUCAACGCUCCCAUGGGCGGAGCCACAAGGGGAUGGAUGUACAUAUGUACACCCGUUAAUCUAGGGAUGAGGGGACGAGGACAAGAAGGCCACGGGUAUCAUGGUGGAGAAGGAGGACAACAAUGACAUUGAGGAAGGGCAGACAUGCCGCUCCAUGGCAACUACGAUGACCAGUUCCUUACUCACAAUACUGGAGAUCUUCAUACAACCCCAUAUGCAACAACACAAUUUCCAUUACUUAGCAUGCAUCAUAAUGAAUCAAAUUAGUAUCUCUUUCCUUAUUUUUGGCUAGGAUGGAUUUCCGUUUCUUGUGUAUAUACAGAUUUACUACUACUGCUACAUUGUUACUCCAUUAUACUAAGAGAUUGGGACCUGGUCUGAUCCUUCCUAUAUGUAGUUGUAUUUGUCAUGACAGAUAGAGAUACCCUAUGGCAUUGCAUUGUCCUCCCUCCCUUCCUAAAUAUAAGUCUUUUUAGAGAUUUCCAACAUGGACUACAUACAGAGCAAAUUGAGUGAAUCAACACUCUAAACUACGUAUAUAUACAUCUGUAUGUAGUUCAUAUUAAAAUCUUUAGAAAGACAUGUAUUUAGGAACGGAGGGAGUAUUUGUUUGUAAGACAGAUUUGAACUAGCUUAGUUCUGAUUGUAAUUAUUAUGAGUGUUAUAUUCUUUUUUUCUCA